UACGGAGGAUGCGAGCGUUAUCCGGAUUUAUUGGGUUUAAAGGGUGCGUAGGCGGCCUGCCAAGUCAGCGGUAAAAUUGCGGGGCUCAACCCCGUACAGCCGUUGAAACUGCCGGGCUCGAGUGGGCGAGAAGUAUGCGGAAUGCGUGGUGUAGCGGUGAAAUGCAUAGAUAUCACGCAGAACCCCGAUUGCGAAGGCAGCAUACCGGCGCCCUACUGACGCUGAGGCACGAAAGUGCGGGGAUCAGACAGG
rnacentral:rRNA from 1 species